AUUGAACGCUGGCAGCAUGCCUUACACAUGCAAGUCGAACGGUAACGCGGGGCAACCUGGCGACGAGUGGCGAACGGGUGAGUAAUACAUCGGAACGUGCCCAGUAGUGGGGGAUAGCCCGGCGAAAGCCGGAUUAAUACCGCAUACGACCUACGGGUGAAAGCAGGGGAUCGCAAGACCUUGCGCUAUUGGAGCGGCCGAUGUCAGAUUAGGUUGUUGGUGGGGUAAAAAGCCUACCAAGCCGACGAUCUGUAGCUGGUCUGAGAGGACGACCAGCCACACUGGGACUGAGACACGGCCCAGACUCCUACGGGAGGCAGCAGUGGGGAAUUUUGGACAAUGGGCGCAAGCCUGAUCCAGCCAUGCCGCGUGCGGGAAGAAGGCCUUCGGGUUG
rnacentral:rRNA from 1 species